CCAGUAAGUCGGGUGAUUGCCCUAUACCAAUAUAAAUAUUUGGUCGGGAGGAAAGUCCGAACACUCAUUUCCCGCUUUUAGCGGGAUCUAAAAAGAUAGUGGAUAACAUCCAUCGGCGCAAACUCUGUAAUUUAUGGAGCAAGGCUAGAGGUGCGAACAGUGACGCCCUAGACGCCGAAAGGCGUCGGGCGCCCGUCCGCCGUAAGGCGGAAUAGGGCGAAUCUCAAGAGUAAUCUUGGGAGUGAAACGGCUAAAUCCUUAUCGGGCGCAAGAGUAAACGGGAGGUUCUGGGUUUUUAUAUCUUAGAAUUUUCCUGAAAAGGUAACUCGCUUGAUCCCGAGAGUAAUCGAGGGACCAGAUAGAUAAUCACCAUCCCGAGUUCCGCGAAGCGGAACGAAGGAUACAGAAUUCGGCUUACAGACUUGCUGGGACA
rnacentral:RNase_P_RNA from 1 species